rnacentral:rRNA from 1 species
CAGCUGUUCCAUUCCACCCUGAACACACCUGGCCCUCACCUGAUUUUGGAAGCUAAGAAGGGAUGUAUCGGGUUAGUAUUUGUUGAAAUAACCAGAGAAUACCAGGGAUCUUUUGG